UACGGGGGGGGCAAGCGUUGUUCGGAAUUACUGGGCGUAAAGGGCUCGUAGGUGGCCAACUAAGUCAGACGUGAAAUCCCUCAGCUUAACUGGGGAACUGCGUCUGAUACUGGAUGGCUUGAGUUUGGGAGAGGGAUGCGGAAUUCCAGGUGUAGCGGUGAAAUGCGUAGAUAUCGGAAGGAACACCGGUGGCGAAAGCGGCUUCCUGGACCAGCACCGACACUCAGGCGCGAAAGCGUGGGGAGCAAACGGG
rnacentral:rRNA from 1 species